AUGCCACUCCACUCCCUCUUUAGACUUGCAAACCCAAUAAUCUAGGCUCUAAUAAUCUAGGAAAGAAACAACUAACCACUUAUUCUCUACUACGAUUAUAACAAUCUAGUUGCUAGUAAUCUGACUGAACAAUCUAGAUUAUAAUAAUCCUAAUCUAAAAGAAACAGGGCCUAAAUAUACAAAUUUAUAAAAAAGAAAAACUAAUGCGAAGCGUCGCACCGCUGUCGUCGUAGGGUUUUUGGGUCGCGCGAUAGAUCCCACCGCCCGCGUCUCGCAACUAACCUAGCGAUCUAAUCGGCGAAUUACACAGCAAGCAACAACAGGCCAGCAAGAUACAAUCCCAUCGUUCCGAUUGAGUCCACGCGCGCCGCCGUCCCGCAUCCAACGUCUCCCGUCGGCGCGAGACCACAACGGCGCCGGCCGUCGGCACGCCGGUACGACCUGCUGACCUCGACUAGGCGACGGUGAGUGAAAAAAGACUCAAAACAGACUGAAGCUCCACCAUGCAUAUCCUUCUAUGUGCACCUCUACUGCCCAAAAAGUAUGUUUCAUCUUUUCUAAGAGUGCUGGGAUGUGCAUGCCCCUUGACGCCUUGAGCCAUUCCAAGGUUUUUAUGAGAUUGCUGAUCGUUGAAUCAUGAAGAAAGAUACACAUAUUGUCUCUCUUUUUCGAAAACACGUAGCAAAGAAGAAUGCUUCUAAAUUGUCUUCUUUCUCGGUUGUGAUAAAAGAGCACACGCAAGACAAGAUGAGGAAGACAUCUCGCCGCUUCCACCACCGUUUUUCGUCAUGGUACACUUUUUGGUAUAUUUUAUUAUCUAUACUUAUAUUGUAUAUAUUAGCAUCGUUACAUUUACGGUGUUUAGAAAAAAAAAUUUUAAGUUGGACCGCCCAUAUUCUAAAUCCUAGAUACGUCAUUGGGUUUCUUCGGUAUGUUAGGCAUAGCUAGGGCUGCUUGCCACCAUUCUUCCAUGGUUUUGCAACUAUAGUCCAACUUGGUGUGAAGAUCUGAACUUGGACCCAAUUGCCUACCACUUCCUAGAUUCUCCGCGAGAGCCUGCAUUCAGCUAGAAGAUGGAUGGUGGAUUCAUCGAUUGCUCCGCACAAAGGGCAUAUUUGCUGGUUUGGCCAACCUAUCACGUGUAGCCUAUCCACUGUCCACACUGUUUUGAAUGAUUAACCAUGAGAAAAACUUGCAUUUGUUCCAUAGGAUCUUGUCAUGUUAUUUUUACUACUUCCUCUGUCACAUAAUUUAGCAACCUAGUAUCGGCUCGGUUGUUA